AAAUGGCCAAAAUAUGUGAAUAUGUAUAAAAUGAGACAAAUGAAUGUACGUUUCUGUCUCCAUUAUUAAUGUUCAUUAACAUUAUAGGUUUGUGUGUAUGUGAGAACAGUAGUCGUUAAACUCAAUAGAAAACGACAUAUAACACUUCAAAUGUGCUGCACAUUUACUUUUUAUGUUUUUGAGCUUUGAAUGUGUGUGUAAGUAUGUCAGUGUGUGUUAGUGUGUCAGUGUGUGUAAGUGUGUCAGUGUGUGUGAGAUAGAUAAAGAGAGAGAGAAAUUUAGACAAAAAUCAAUAUAAAUGAUCAAUUUGUAUCUGCACAUACACACAUACAUUACACACUCUGACACCCAUACCAACACAUCCAGGUCAUUUUGGAUGCAACCACAUUUUUCAUUGGUCUGCUGUGCUUCAUAAUACAGAACAAGCAGGACUGGGGAAUUCUCCCAUAGGAGAAUAUAGGAGAAUAUUAUCAGUGCACCAUGUAAAUACUGAUUAUUAUUUGGUUAUUCACCAUUAUGGUGUUGAUCAGACAGAUCU